CGGGGCGUAGCUCAGCCUGGUUAGAGCGCCGCGUUUGGGACGCGGAGGUUCGCCGGUUCGAAUCCGGCCGCCCCGA
rnacentral:tRNA from 1 species